rnacentral:tRNA from 1 species
GGGAGAGUGGCCGAGUGGUUAAGGCGCCCGCUUCAGGUGCUGGUAUCUUCUAAGAUGCGCGAGUUCGAACCUCGUCUCUUCCA